rnacentral:rRNA from 1 species
CGGACCCAUCCCGAACCCGGAAGCUAAGCCAGCCAGCGCCGAUGGUACUGCACCCGCCAGGGUGCGGGAGAGUAGGACACCACCGAGC